rnacentral:rRNA from 1 species
UUAAGUGUGACGACACACGUAUCCGAAGCGAAAGCGAGUCUGAAUAGGGCGUAUAGUCGGCAGUGGCAGACGCGAAACCAAGUGAUCUACCCUUGGCCAGGUUGAAGGCUGGGUAACACCAGCUGGAGGACCGCACCAAUAAGCGUUGAAAAGCUUCUGGAUGAGCUGAGGGUAGGGGUGAAAGGCUAAUCAAACUUGGAGAUAGCUCGUACUCCCCGAAAUGCAUUUAGGUGCAGCCUUGCGGGUUACUGAUGUGAGGUAGAGCGACUGAUAAGAUGCGAGGGCUUCACCGCCUAUCAAGUCUUGACAAACUCCGAAUGCGCAUCAGUUCUACCGCAGGAGUGAGGGCAUGGGUGCUAAGGUCCGUGCCCGAGAGGAGAAGAAUCCGGACCACCUGCUAAGGUCCCGAAAUGACAGCUAAGUUAAACUAACGAAGUCUGACUGCUAAGACAGCUAGGAUGUUGGCUUGGAAGCAGCCAUUCAUUUAAAGAGUGCGUAACAGCUCACUAGUCGAGGAGUCGGGCGUGGAUAAUAAUCGGGUAUCAAGUUGUCUACCGAAGCAGUGGGAUCAUUAAUAUGAUCGGUAGGGGAGCAUUCCAGUCAGCGUCGAAGGCGUACCGUGAGGUAUUCUGGAGCGUCUGGAAAAGCAAAUGUAGGUAUAAGUAACGAUAAAGGGGGCGGGAAACCCCCUCGCCGAAAGACUAAGGUUUCCUGAUCAACGCUAAUCGGAUCAGGGUCAGUCGGGUCCUAAGGCUCAGCCGAACGGCGAUGCCGAUGGCAGAAACGGUUAAUAUUCCGUUACUACCUUCAGGAGUGACGUGGAGACGCAGUAGUGACAGUGCCGCCAUCUGACGGAAUAGAUGGUUGAAGGGUGUAGGAGUCGAUCAUGGCAGGCAAAUCCACCAUGAGAAUCGAACCUGAUAGUAUGCCGCGUCCCUCGGGACAAGGCAAUAGUGCAUGUAAUCAUGCUGCCAAGAAAAUCCGCUAAACUAAAUCCUGUAGGUACCC